ensembl:snRNA RNU6-622P RNA, U6 small nuclear 622, pseudogene
GUGCUCACUUUAACAGCACCUGUACUAAAAUUGGAAUGAUACAGAGAUUAGCGUGGUCCCUACACAAGGAUGAUAUGCAAUGUGUGGAGUGUUCCAUAUUUUU